rnacentral:rRNA from 1 species
UGCUGGAGGUAUCAGAAGUGCGAAUGCUGACAUAAGUAACGAUAAAGCGGGUGAAAAGCCCGCUCGCCGGAAGACCAAGGGUUCCUGUCCAACGUUAAUCGGGGCAGGGUGAGUCGACCCCUAAGGCGAGGCCGAAAGGCGUAGUCGAUGGGAAACAGGUUAAUAUUCCUGUACUUGGUGUUACUGCGAAGGGGGGACGGAGAAGGCUAUGUUAGCCGGGCGACGGUUGUCCCGGUUUAAGCAUGUAGGCUGGUUAUCCAGGCAAAUCCGGAUAAUCAAGGCUGAGGUGUGAUGACGAGGCACUACGGUGCUGAAGUAACAAAUGCCCUGCUUCCA